GAUGAACGCUAGCUACAGGCUUAACACAUGCAAGUCGAGGGGAAACGACAGUAAAGCUUGCUUUAUUGGGCGUCGACCGGCGCACGGGUGCGUAACGCGUAUCCAACCUGCCCCCAACUCCGGAAUAGUCCCCCGAAAGGGGGGUUAACGCCGGAUGCUGCAAUUUUUCCGCAUGGUGGAAUUGCGAAAUGAAAAAGGUUGGGGCUGGGGAUGCGUCCCAUUAGGUAGUAGGCGGGGUAACGGCCCACCUAGCCGACGAUGGGUAGGGGUUCUGAGAGGAAGGUCCCCCACAUUGGAACUGAGACACGGUCCAAACUCCUACGGGAGGCAGCAGUGAGGAAUAUUGGUCAAUGGGCGAGAGCCUGAACCAGCCAAGUAGCGUGUGGGACGAAUGCCCUAUGGGGUUGUAAACCACUUUUGCAGGAGGGUAAAAUGCUUCACGUGUGGAGUAUUGCAAGUAUCCUGCGAAUAAGGACCGGCUAAUUCCGUG
rnacentral:rRNA from 1 species